rnacentral:rRNA from 1 species
UGAGGAAUAUUGGUCAAUGGACGCAAGUCUGAACCAGCCAUGCCGCGUGCAGGAAGACGGCUCUAUGAGUUGUAAACUGCUUUUGUACGAGGGUAAACGCAGAUACGCGUAUCUGUCUGAAAGUAUCGUACGAAUAAGGAUCGGCUAACUCCGUGCCAGCAGCCGCGGUAAUACGGAGGAUUCAAGCGUUAUCCGGAUUUAUUGGGUUUAAAGGGUGCGUAGGCGGUCGGAUAAGUUAGAGGUGAAAUCCCGGGGCUCAACUUCGGAAUUGCCUCUGAUACUGUUCGGCUGGAGAGUAGUUGCGGUAGGCGGAAUGUAUGGUGUAGCGGUGAAAUGCUUAGAGAUCAUACAGAACACCGAUUGCGAAGGCAGCUUACCAAGCUACUUCUGACGUUGAGGCACGAAAGCGUGGGGAGCAAACAGG